UGGGGAAUAUUGGACAAUGGGCGCAAGCCUGAUCCAGCCAUGCCGCGUGAGUGAAGAAGGCCUUAGGGUUGUAAUACUCUUUCGGCGGGGACGAUGAUGACGGUACCCGCAGAAGAAGCCCCGGCUAACUCCGUGCCAGCAGCCGCGGUAAUACGGAGGGGGCUAGCGUUGCUCGGAAUUACUGGGCGUAAAGGGCGUGUAGGCGGGACAUCAAGUGAGGCGUGAAAGCCCCGGGCUUAACCCGGGAACUGCGUUUCAUACUGAUGACCUAGAGUCCGGGAGAGGGUGGUGGAAUUCCCAGUGUAGAGGUGAAAUUCGUAGAUAUUGGGAAGAACACCAGUGGCGAAGGCGGCCACCUGGACCGGUACUGACGCUGAGGCGCGAAAGCGUGGGGAGCAAACAGGAUUAGAUACCCCCGUAGUCC
rnacentral:rRNA from 1 species